AUAUUCUUCAUUUUGUUAUUCACAUUGGACUAGGCAGGAACAAAGAUCACCACAACUGGCUCCCCUUCAACUAUGUUAGAUGGCAACUUGCCUUCAGUAUGGUGAAACACAUCAAAUUUCUCUUGCCUGACACAGCAUAGGAAGAUGCUGAACGGCCACACAGUGAUCCAUUGAGAUAGAAUCUCACUAUGUUGACCAGGCUGGUCUUGAACUCUUGGCACCCAAGCGAUCCUUUUGCCUGGAAUCCCAAAGUGUCAGAUUUACUGAAGAAUAUUUCAUUGUAAUUACUUUUUAUACUUUAUAGGUCAAGAGCUCUGUUUUAAAUACAAAAUUUAUUGAAUAUACUUUUUCAAAC
rnacentral:lncRNA from 10 species